rnacentral:rRNA from 1 species
GGCAGGGAAAGGCAGGGGGGGGGCUCUGGGAUUUCAUCGUUGGCGCUCACUGAAAAGCCCAAAUUUCCGUAUAGCCCUCCUUUUUCAGGUAACGAUAAGCUUUAUCGUCAGAAGAGAAACAGCUCAAACCGUCGAAAUUAAGGUUCCAAAAUGGAUGGGAUG